UACGUAGGGGGCAAGCGUUGUCCGGAAUUAUUGGGCGUAAAGCGCGCGCAGGCGGCUUUGUAAGUCUGGUGUUUAAACCUAGGGCUCAACCCUGGGUCGCAUUGGAAACUGCAAGGCUUGAGUGCAGAAGAGGAGAGUGGAAUUCCACGUGUAGCGGUGAAAUGCGCAGAUAUCAGGAGGAACACCGGUGGCGAAGGCGGAUCUCUGGGUCUGAUCUGACGCUGAGGCGCGAAAGCUAGGGGAGCGAACAGG
rnacentral:rRNA from 1 species